CCCAGCCUCAGGCAGGCUGCCCUGCCCCUUUUGCAGCAGCUGCAGGCAUGGCUGGGGGAGCCCAGGGGGCAGCGACUGGUGGUCCUGCACCUGGAGGAAGUGUCGUGGGAGCCAACACCCUUGCUGAAGUUCCAGGAGCCCCUACCUGGAGAAGCCAGCCCCCUGGAGCUGGCGCUGUUGGUGUUGUAUCCAGGGCCCGGCCCAGAGGUCACUGUCACCGGGGCUGGGCUGCCCGGCGCCCAGAGCCUCUGCCCGACCAGGGACUCUGGCUUCCUGGCGUUGGCGGUCGACCACCCAGAGAGGGCCUGGCGUGGCUCUGGGCUUGCUCUGACCCUGCGACGCCGCGGAAAUGGUAGCCCCCUCCCCCAGACUGGAGCCGGGCUGGGGCGGCUGCCCUCGG
rnacentral:lncRNA from 1 species